rnacentral:rRNA from 1 species
UGGGGAAUAUUGCACAAUGGGCGCAAGCCUGAUGCAGCCAUGCCGCGUGUGUGAAGAAGGCCUUCGGGUUGUAAAGCACUUUCAGCGAGGAGGAAGGGUAGUGUGUUAAUAGCACAUUGCAUUGACGUUACUCGCAGAAGAAGCACCGGCUAACUCCGUGCCAGCAGCCGCGGUAAUACGGAGGGUGCAAGCGUUAAUCGGAAUUACUGGGCGUAAAGCGCACGCAGGCGGUUUGUUAAGUCAGAUGUGAAAUCCCCGCGCUUAACGUGGGAACUGCAUUUGAAACUGGCAAGCUAGAGUCUUGUAGAGGGGGGUAGAAUUCCAGGUGUAGCGGUGAAAUGCGUAGAGAUCUGGAGGAAUACCGGCGGCGAAGGCGGCCC